rnacentral:lncRNA from 1 species
UUGAACUUAUGCCAGAAAGAAAAGGAGAGACUGAGUGAUGAACUCCUUGUAAAAUCAGACCUAGAAACUGUUGUUCAUCAGCUUGAACAAGAAAAGCAAAGACUUAGCAAAAAAGUUGAAAGUUUUGCAGUUACAGGGUGAUUACAAUUCAGAAAUUCAUCAGAUCACAAGAGAAAGAGAUGAACUUCAGCGUAUGCUAGAAAGAUUUGAAAAAUAUAUGGAAGAUAUACAGUCCAAUGUUAAAUUAUUGACAGCAGAAAGAGAUAAACUAAGUGUCUUAUAUAAUGAAGCUCAGGAAGAAUUAUCUGCCCUAAGAAAGGAAUCCACCCAAACCACAGCACCCCAUAAUAUUGUUAGUCUUAUGGAAAAGGAAAAAGAACUUGCGUUAUCUGACUUAAGAAGAAUUAUG